AGACCCGAAACCCGGUGAUCUAGCCAUGGGCAGGUUGAAGGUUGGGUAACACUAACUGGAGGACCGAACCGACUAAUGUUGAAAAAUUAGCGGAUGACCUGUGGCUGGGGGUGAAAGGCCAAUCAAACCGGGAGAUAGCUGGUUCUCCCCGAAAGCUAUUUAGGUAGCGCCUCGUGAAUUCAUCUCCGGGGGUAGAGCACUGUUUCGGCUAGGGGGCCAUCCCGGCUUACCAACCCGAUGCAAACUGCGAAUACCGGAGAAUGUUAUCACGGGAGACACACGGCGGGUGCUAACGUCCGUCGUGAAGAGGGAAACAACCCAGACCGCCAGCUAAGGUCCCAAAGUCAUGGUUAAGUGGGAAACGAUGUGGGAAGGCCCAGACAGCCAGGAUGUUGGCUUAGAAGCAGCCAUCAUUUAAAGAAAGCGUAAUAGCUCACUGGUCGAGUCGGCCUGCGCGGAAGAUGUAACGGGGCUAAACCAUGCACCGAAGCUGCGGCAGCGAACGUAUCACCCAAGACAACUUUACGGAGUUGACGAUUGACGGAGCGAAGCGACGUCAAAGCGUUCAUUAAAGUCGAGUUGGCUUAGGGAUACGUUCGUUGGGUAGGGGAGCGUUCUGUAAGCCUGUGAAGGUGUGUCGUGAGGCAUGCUGGAGGUAUCAGAAGUGCGAAUGCUGACAUAAGUAACGAUAAAGCGGGUGAAAAGCCCGCUCGCCGGAAGACCAAGGGUUCCUGUCCAACGUUAAUCGGGGCAGGGUGAGUCGACCCCUAAGGCGAGGCCGAAAGGCGUAGUCGAUGGGAAACGGGUUAAUAUUCCCGUACUUGGUGUUACUGCGAAGGGGGGACGGAGAAGGCUAUGUUGGCCGGGCGACGGUUGUCCCGGUUUAAGCGUGUAGGUGUGUGUUCCAGGUAAAUCCGGUUCACUUU
rnacentral:rRNA from 1 species